rnacentral:rRNA from 1 species
CGUACACUCCUACGGGAGGCAGCAGUGAGGAAUAUUGGACAAUGGGUGGAAGCCUGAUCCAGCCAUCCCGCGUGCAGGAAGACGGCCCUAUGGGUUGUAAACUGCUUUUAUCUGGGGAUAAACCUACUUACGUGUAAGUAGCUGAAGGUACCAGAAGAAUAAGCACCGGCUAACUCCGUGCCAGCAGCCGCGGUAAUACGGAGGGUGCAAGCGUUAUCCGGAUUUAUUGGGUUUAAAGGGUCCGUAGGCGGACUGAUAAGUCAGUGGUGAAAUCCGACAGCUUAACUGUCGAACUGCCAUUGAUACUGUUAGUCUUGAGUAAGGUUGAAGUGGCUGGAAUAAGUAGUGUAGCGGUGAAAUGCAUAGAUAUUACUUAGAACACCAAUUGCGAAGGCAGGUCACUAAGUCUUAACUGACGCUGAUGGACGAAAGCGUGGGGAGCGAACAGGAUUAGAAACCCUUGUAGUCCCAUG